GGGCAAGUGGCGGAACGGUAGACGCACCGCACUCAAAAUGCGGCGGAGAAAUCCAUGAGAGUUCGAAUCUCUCCUUGCCCA
rnacentral:tRNA from 8 species